rnacentral:rRNA from 1 species
GAUGAACGCUGGCGGCGUGCCUAAUACAUGCAAGUCGAGCGAACAGACGAGGAGCUUGCUCCUCUGACGUUAGCGGCGGACGGGUGAGUAACACGUGGAUAACCUACCUAUAAGACUGGGAUAACUUCGGGAAACCGGAGCUAAUACCGGAUAAUAUAUUGAACCGCAUGGUUCAAUAGUGAAAGACGGUUUUGCUGUCACUUAUAGAUGGAUCCGCGCUGCAUUAGGUAGUUGGUAAGGUAACGGCUUACCAGGGCAACGAUGCGUAGCCGACCUGAGAGAGUGAUCGGCCACACUGGAACUGAAACACGGUCCAGACUCCUACGGGAGGCAGCAGUAGGGAAUCUUCCGCAAUGGGCGAAAGCCUGACGGAGCAACGCCGCGUGAGUGAUGAAGGUCUUCGGAUCGUAAAACUCUGUUAUUAGGGAAGAACAAAUGUGUAAGUAACUAUGCACGUCUUGACGGUACCUAAUCAGAAAGCCACGGCUAACUACGUG